AGAGGAACCUAACGUCUGUUGGUUGAACCGUUCAUCAUUCAAUUCAUUUGAGAGUUGGACCAAAAAAAAAGAACUGGGCUCCUUGGUUGUGGCCACUUAUUGCAUUGGUUUAAAGAAUCUAGAAAUUAUCAAAGAAAUUUGCCCGAACAUAGAAGCCCUCGAGCUUCAGGACGUGCAAUGUCGAGCACCAAAGCAACUGCGCCCACACAAUCUACGUGAUAACUUCAAGGGCCUGCAACAGCUCACGUUAAAAUCGUGUUCGAUAACAGACAGCUGUGUGAACCAAUUCGUAGCCGAUAAAGCCUUGGAAGGACUAAAAUUCUACUGUUGUGACGCUGUGACCGGUGCUUGCUUCAAAAAUAUGAACUUGUCAAAUUUAAAGUCCCUUGAGAUUGAUAUGUGUAGCGGUUUUGAGUCCCAACACAUGCUUCCAGCCUUUGACCGUCUUAGCGAGCUGACGAAGUUAAACCUGUAUAAUAUUUCUAGUGAAUUUCUUGAAGAAAUUCAGGUUGGGUUGGAUAAGAUGCCGAAAUUGGAGAAGUUAGAUCUGAAUAAUGAUCAGACAAUAAGAGGGGAGGAGUGUGGUGAGCAACUGAGUCGGCUGACGCGGUUGAAGCACCUCAGGCUGGCGUACCAGAUGUCUGACGAGGACAUAGAGGCGAUCACGCGGUGCUGCACGGAGCUGGUGAUUUUGGAUUUAUCAGACUGUCGAUGUGAGUAUAAUGAC